GGCUUCGCUGCCACCUUGCACCUCCUGAGGUCUGCACACAGCUUGCACCUACUACCGACUAUUUUUGCUCAAUUUAGCCCAUUGCUCACCCUCUUGGAGUCCCUCCACUGCUUCCCCAAGUCAACAAACAUCCUGUACAGACCUACCCAGCACUUGUUAGCCCACUGACAGUUUUUUAUUUUCUUGACAAGUAAAUCAAGCUUUAGCUUUUUUUCAGGCAUUUGGCGUCGGUCUUUAUCUAUAGUUCCCCAUGCAAAUUAAGGCUCCUCAUGCAUAUUCACUAUGUAUCUCAUGUCUCCAAAAACACGUCUGUCAGAAAAUGACCAUCUUAUAAGUUGUCCAUUCUAUAUGUUCCACUCUCCUUGGGAUUUCCUUAUCUGAGCCUGGGAAUAUUUCUUUUUGACAAGAAAAAAUUUGUUUCAGAAGGACAAAAUAAAUUCGGGUUGAAUUUGGCUAAUCCUGUUUCUGCUAGGAAAGAAAGGAUAAAGUUUUUUUAAAGUGAUUGCUUUUUUCAAAACAGCAUUGAUUGUUCCAAAUUUGACCAAAAUUUAAAAGUAAACAAAAAAACCCAAAAACUGUUAAACACAGAAGUGAAUGACCUCCAAUCCAAAGAUGACAUUGUGCAGCAAACCAAAUUACUUGAAUCUAAAUAGUUUUUCAUUUUUUCUCUUUGCAGAAAAUGGAACAAUUCCUGUCCCAGGUGGGGACCUAAGCCUCUCACCCCUUUUUAUUUCUGACAUGUCCUGAAGACCUAUCAAUCCUGAUGGUCUAUGGCAGCACACAGCAGCAAACAGGGCUGUGCUCCUAUCUUCCUUCUCCCUAUGUGGAUCCAUGAGCUGGUCACUGGGACUAGAUUCACCCCAGCUUACUUCAGAAGUUUGAACCACCAUUUACCAACCUCAGGCCAUCCCAGAGUAAUGUGUCCCAGUUGUUCUGAUGUCUUGAGGAAAGACAAGAAAUCGUUUGGUUUUGUGUAUGAGCCCAUUAGGGUAGAUGUGCUUCACUGCUGUAGCAUGUCCAUCACUGGGCUGACACCAGACCCAGGCCUCACCUGUGUGCAGCUACCUAGCAGCUGUGGACAGAAGGCUGCACCAGGAGCUCUGGUCCCCCAUCAACCUACCUGGGCUCAGAAGCUGAACCUCCAACAUCUGCCCACUUCCUAGACAUGUGAAGACAUCCAUCACAUGUGAACAAGAGGUUAAAGCCACCAGGUUUGGGCUGCCCUUCUCUGGCAAGCCAUCAAGCUGAAGCAGUUGCUCAGCAGAAGUUUGAAGGCUGAUUUUUUUAUUAAGGAAAAAAUUUUCCACUGGACAUAUGUCAGUGUCCAGAUCUGGUGAGAGCUGAGGGAGAGCUCAGACGGAAGGUGAACCGAGAACACAGCCAUAGCCCAGCACACCUGGAGAUCUAAGUAGUACUACAGAAAUUACUUUCUUUUUCCUUAAUAAAGCCAAAUAAUUUA